UGGAAUCUCGCGUCAGCCUGACCCCACAAGGAGCUCUGGAGUGUAGGUAACAUUACAGAGCCGUCUCACUCUAAGGCAAGAAGCUUGGCCUUUGGUACUUUUGUGUUAGUCUGUCAUUGACUGUGUGCUGUCUCUGAAAUGGAGCACAUAACCUCCUGGGACUUUCUGGACAAAGUGACUCUCUUUGGCUAAGGGUAAUUCUCUGAAAACUUCAACUGUGAGCUGUUAGCAACCCUCAGUUACAGUCAGUUCUUACAGAUGGGUGCAGUCUGGUAGCAGGGAUCUGGGCAAGGUAUCAACCUUGUCUACAUCAAGGGGCUCAAGCAAUGACCUAGGGUUCCACCUCUCACCCUACUUCUGAGGUUUACUUCUUGGCUCCAUUCUCAAAUAGCAUGGGGACAAGGUGACCACCAAAGGCCCUGAGCUCUCCUUAUGUCUCCCAUGCAGCAUAUAGAGAAGCCUGAUUUCUCCAGGUGUUAAGUACUGAGUUUCCUGGAUUAGCCCCACAUGACUUCAUGCUCACCUUGCUGUUGGAGAUGGUGGUAGUGUCAGCUCUAAUUAAACCUCAAGGAUGUUUCCCCACAAUGGGUUUAUAUUUCUAAAAGAGGGAUGGAUGCUGAAUAGGCAAAAAACAGCAGUGAUCCCCUGCUGGGCUCUGAACUCCUGUUUUAAGUCAGAAGGCAGGGAAUAGCAUGUGUGUGGCUGAAGGAUGCUAAGUAGCACCACACCCUUGGGGUAGCAAAAGUGGGCUAGAUCCCUGGGAGGAGGAAGUUUGGGAGGGAGCAGAUGGGAAGGAAUGAGAAAUACACAAGGGGUAGCUCGUGGAGGGCCUCAUGAACAGAGGAGUAUCAACUUGAUCCUGAGAAUUGUGCGUUCGGCUUGAGGUUCAUCUGAGUCUCUACAGUCCUUUUCUUAUGCCAUUCUUCCCCCAGGUGUCUGGUAUCAACCCACCAAUAAGGCUAGAGAUUUUGGGCUCAAUCCCAGCCAGUGCCAAUAUCAAAGGGACCCAUUCAAAGGGCAGAUUCCAAAGGAUUCCAGGGAAAGAAUCUGGUAGCAAGUUUGCUGGGCAGUGGUCCCAUGAACUGGAGAUGGGGAGGAGUCGGAGGGCAUCACCUCUGACGUUUGAGGUCAUUGUCCAUCUAAAACAGAUCUCAGUCCAAAGCUGGGUUGAUGAGAUGUUGACCAAGUCUGAGCAGUCAGUCCCAGAUGGAUUGGGAUCAGAGUCAGCCCCAUCUUGAGGGGAAUAUGUUGUUCUUUUUCAGGAAAUUAAGAUAGGAACCCAGCUAUGGGGGUCAGACCAGCUCACAACAGAGAGAAACCGAAGAUUACAGUUCUUCUCAGGGAGCAAGUGGGACUCCAACCCUCUCUCCAUAGGGAGCUGAAGGUGCCAGGGGUCAGGAAGAGAGAUAUAUUGGUUCAGGUUACUCUUGCUGCUGUAACAAAUAACCUCCAUCAUUUCAGUACCCUCAUAUGAGUGUUUUCACCAUUUGGAUACUCAAGUUCCUUCUGUCGUGUAGGUCCAUCAUUCCCCAGCAUCUGCAUCCAGGCAGAAGAAGGGAAGAGGGAGAAAGCGCACCUGCUUCUUAACCUCCUUGCCUGAGAGAGACACAGAUCACUUUUGCUCAUACGCAAUUGGGGAGAACCGGUCACAUGACUUCAUGUAGCUGCAAAGGUAGCUGGGAAUUGUAGUUCCUGCUGGGCUGAAGGCCUCAGGGAGAACUCUUAUAUCACAGUAGGGGAGCUUGCAUUUUGAUGAGCAGUGGCCACCCCUGCCCUGGGAGCCUAGCAGACGCCCUAUCAGAAAGAGGCUUCAGUGAGCCCAGCUGAGGGGUGGGAUCAUGUCUUUGCCCUGCUGACAAGCAGUUCUCUUGUAUACAACUUGGCCCCUGAAAUUGUCUGAACGGAUUUGAGCACUUUCCAACCCAACAGACUGUGGAAUUGGACUAAGGCGAUAAGGACUCAGUGAAACGUGGAGCCUUGCAAAGUACACAGGGAAAAUAAGCGAAUGCAUGAAAUGACAAUUUCCUGACAGUGGGACCUAGGUUCUGGGAACAGCUUCUGAGUACACAGGGUUUGCGAUAAAUCCGGUUUUUCUCCUGUAGCUUCUGUUUGUGCUCAGGUUGUGUUUGAUCAACUCGAUUUCUGUUUGGAAUCAAGGACCUUCUCCUGCUCGCUUAUUCCUGGCCUUCUCCUGGAGCCGUAGUGCCUCUUUGUAAGGCUGAAUUCAUAGCCCGAGGACAUUCUCUCAGCAGCUCCUUGUAAUGGUCUAAAUAUAGACACUUCACCUCAGGUGCAGAGCAAGCAGGGGAGAGACUGCUUUGCAGACUCCUUGCUGCGGCAUCCUUGGUCGAGGGCUGGAGGACAGAUUCCAGUCUGGGUCUCUCCACUUACUCUACGAUCUUGACAAGUGACAAGGCCGUUAGCCCUGUUCCUUUAUCUGUAAAACUGGAACAGCUGCCAUGACAAAAAUGGAUGAGUCCAAAAGAGUGUGUAAAAAGUGCUGUGUCAGCGUUAGUGAUCAUGGCAGUGUCCAUGGGUGGGUUAAAGCACAGACUCUGGAGCCAGCCCUCGAAUCCUGAUUCGCAUCCAGGCUUUGCUGCUUUCUAACUUUGUGACUCAGGCUCCAGGAGUGGAUCCUCUCUUGCUUCUUCCCAGCUUCUGGUGGUUACCAGCAUCCCUUGGCUUGCCUAUGUUCUAGGAGACCUGAUCAUGGUAUACUUCGAAUUGGCCAAACUCAUUCCCACCACAGGACCUUUGCACAGGAUAUUUUCUUCAUCUGGAAUGUUCUUUCCCCAGCAUCCCCAAGAGGCAAGCACUACCAUGAUCUCCAUUUCGCAGAUGAGAAAACAGAAGCUCAAGGAGAUGAAGCUACUUAGAGUCACACAACUAGUAACUGCUGGAAAAGGGACGCAAACGAUGGUUGUUUCAUGCUAUGAUGGUGCCUCCUGUGGAUUCAAGAGCUAUGCACUGUGCAGAGAUGAAAAUGACACACAGCUGGCCCCCAGGAAGCUCACAGCCAUGCACCAGGCGGUAACUCACAAGAUACUGAAUCCUCACUCAAGCUCUCUUCUGGAGAAUGCAGAUCCUCUUGAGAAUGUGAUAAAAACUCUAGACCAUCUCCGUACAACACAGAUGUACCUACACGCCAACACUGGCACAGAGUUCUUGGGAUUGACCUUGAAGAGACCCCUCUCACUUCCGCCUGUGUUGCUCAGGCCUUGUCUGCUUCACCCUUUCAGAGCUGAGGGCCAGUGACUGGCAGCGUCCACUGAUCAAACACACUCAGUGGUUGGGGAAUGGAGCUCCACUUCUUAAGAGGAGGAGCAUCACAGAAUUUGUGGAACUAUCUUUAAAAUCCCUCAGCCACUUACAGUCGCAGUUUUACCUUUAAUUCAUGUGAUUACUUGAUUAAUAUCUGUCUGGGCUGCCCUAGUAAAGAAAAAAUACAUUUUUUUCCUGUUUCUCACCA